rnacentral:piRNA from 1 species
GCAAAAUAUGUAUGGGUAAGU